rnacentral:ncRNA from 1 species
GCGCAGCCCUAAAAAUCUUUGGGGCCAUCCGCCGCAAGGUGGGUUGAGAAAAAUUGGGUGAAUUCGGGGAAAGUCGUCAGCCAUGGCUGACGAACAACCCCGAGCCAAGCCAGGAAGUGCAAAGGUUUCUUGGAAGGUGUAGAGACUAGCAGGUGAGUCACAACAAUAAUCCUGCACAAGCGCCCAACUCCAGCACCAGUUUCAAAAAAACUGGAGCUGGGUGAUGAUAUAGUCCAAAUAGCUUCGGAAGAGGCUG